rnacentral:rRNA from 1 species
GUUCGGUCUGGCUCAGAUUGAACGCUGGCGGGAUCGCCUUACAUUGCAGAGUCGAACUGACACGGACUUCAGUCUGGUGGCGAGUGGCGACAGGUGAAGUAAUGGCGUCGAACGUGCCUAGUAGCGGGGGAUAAUACGCGAAAGCGUAGCUAAUACCUAUCUACGCCCUUCGGGGAAAGCAGGGGACAUUACCCGGGCCUCCUUUUCUAUUAGAGCAGCCGAUAUCAGGAUUGGCUGGUUGGUGGAAUCUAACAGCUCACCAAGGCGUGACGAUCCAAUAGCUGGUUUGAGAGGACGACUGACUGGGACGGGAACCUGGCCGGAACUCCUGCAGGAGAGCAGCAGUGGGGAGUACCUGGACAGUGGAGGGGAAACCCUGAUCCAGCCAUCCCGCGUGUGCGAUGAAGACUGGGUUUAUAUGCAAAGCGCACGCGCAGAAGAAAACGGCACGGGAUAAUACCCCGUGCAACUGAUCUCACAGAAUAAGCACCGGCUAACUACCCCAGCAGCCGCGGUAAUACGUAGGGUGCAAGCGUUAAUCGGAAUUACUGGGCGUAAAGCGUGCGCAGGCGGUUCGGAAAAGAUGUGAAAUCCCAGAGCUUAACUUUGGAACUGCAUUUUUAACUACCGAGCUAGAGAGUGUCAGAGGUGGGAAUUACAUGUAACAGUGAAAUGCGUAGAUAUGCGGAGAGGGAACACCAUUAGCGAGGCAGCCUCCUGGGAUAACACUGACGCUCACGAAAGCGGGAGCAAACGGUUAGAUACGCAGUCCACGCCUAAACGAUGUCAACUAGCUGUUGGGGCCUUCGGGCCCUUGUGAUAGCGCAGCUAUGGCCGUUGACCGCACCAGGGUACAGUCGCAAGAUUAAAACUCAAAGGAAUUGACGGGGACCCGCACAAGCGGUGGAUGAUGUGGAUUAAUUCGAUGCAACGCGAAAAACCUUACCUACCCUUGACGUAUGCAGAUCCGAAGAGAUUUGGGAGUGCUCGCAAGAGAACCGGAACACAGGUGCUGCAUGGCUGUCGUCAGCUCGUGUCGUGAGAUGUUAGAUUCGUCAACGAGCGCAACCCUUGUCAUUAGUUGCUACGAAAGGGCACUCUAAUGAGACUGCCGGUGUCAAACCGGAGGAAGGUGGGAAUGACGUCAAGUCCUCAUGGCCCUUAUGGGUAGGGCUUCACACGUCAUACAAUGGUGCAGGACAGAGGGUGUAACCCGCGAGGGGGAGCCAAUCCCAGAGAAACCCGAUCGUAGUCCGGAUCGCAGUCUGCAACUCGACUGCGUGCGAAGUCGGAAUCGCCUAGUAAUCGCGGAUCAGCAUGUCGCGGUGAUGCGUUCCCGGGUCUUGUACACACCGCCCGUCACACCAUGGGAGGUGGGUUUUACCAAGUAGUUAGCCUAACCGUAAGGAGGGCGAUUACCACGGUAGGAUUCAUGACUGGGGUGAAGUCGUAACAAGGUAG